GACGAACGCUGGCGGCGUGCCUAACACAUGCAAGUCGAACGGGAUCGGGGGCAACUCCGGUUCAGUGGCGGACGGGUGCGUAACACGUGAGGAACAUGACUUUCGGUCGGGGAGGUAGCCGGCCCGAACCGGACCGGGUAACGUACCGCCGUACGACCCACCUGGAGGACCUCUCCGUUCGGGUUGGAAAGACAGCAAUAGCACCGAAACGAAGU
rnacentral:rRNA from 1 species